AAGUCGAACGCACCGCAAGGUGAGUGGCGCACGGGUGAGUAACACGUGGGAAUGUACCCUUUGGUUCGGAAUAACGUUUGGAAACGAACGCUAAUACCGGAUGAGCCCUGCGGGGGAAAGAUUUAUCGCCAAAGGAGCAGCCCGCGUCUGAUUAGCUAGUUGGUGGGGUAAAGGCCUACCAAGGCGACGAUCAGUAGCUGGUCUGAGAGGAUGAUCAGCCACACUGUGACUGAGACACGGCCCAGACUCCUACGGGAGGCAGCAGUGGGGAAUAUUGGACAAUGGGCGCAAGCCUGAUCCAGCCAUGCCGCGUGAGUGAUGAAGGCCUUCGGAUUGUAAAGCUCUUUCGCACACGACGAUGAUGACGGUAGUGUGAGAAGAAGCCCCGGCUAACUUCGUGCCAGCAGCCGCGUUAAUACGAAGGGGGCUAGCGUUGUUCGGAAUUACUGGCGUAAAGGGCGCGUAGGCGGCUUAUCAAGUCAGGCGUGAAAGCCCCGCUUAACCUGAGAACUGCGCUUGAGACUGGUAGGCUAGAGUCCGGAGAGGUAGGUGGAAUUCCAGGUAGAGGUGAAAUUCGUAGAUAUUGGGAAGAACACCAGUGGCGAAAGCGGCCUACUGGACGGUAACUGACCCUUAGGCGCGAAAGCCUGGGAGCAAACAGGAUUAGAUACCCUUGUAGUCACGCUGUAAACGAUGUCGGCUAGACGUUGGGGUUCUUAGAACUCGGUGUCGCAAGCUAACGCAUUAAGCCGACCCGCCUGGGGAGUACCGCCGCAAGGGUUAAACUCAAAGGAAUUGACGGGGGCCCGCACAAGCGGUGGAGCAUGUGUUUAAUUCGAAGCAACGCGCAGAACCUUACCAACCCUUGACAUGCCUUGACCGGUGCAGAGAUGCACUUUUCCUUUCGGGGACAGGGACCACAGGUGCUGCAUGGCUGUCGUCAGCUCGUGUCGUGAGAUGUUGGGUUAAGUCCCGCAACGAGCGCAACCCCCGCUGUUAGUUGCCAUCAUUAAGUUGGGCACUCUAGCAGAACUGCCGGUGACAAGCCGAAGAAAGGCGGGAAUGACGUCAAGUCCUCAUGGCCCUUACGGGUUGGGCUACACACGUGCUACAAUGGUGGUGACAGUGGGCAGCGACCACGCGAGUGGAACCGAAUCUCCAAAAGCCAUCUCAGUUCGGAUUGCACUCUGCAACUCGGGUGCAUGAAGUUGGAAUCGCUAGUAAUCGCGGAUCAGCACGCCGCGGUGAAUACGUUCCCGGGCCUUGUACACACCGCCCGUCACACCAUGGGAGUUGGCUUUACCUGAAGCCGGUGCGCUAACCGCAAGGAGGCAGCCGACCACGGUACGGUCAGCGACUGG
rnacentral:rRNA from 1 species